rnacentral:lncRNA from 1 species
UUGUAUAAGAAUCCGUAUCAUAUUAGAGAUAGAGUACUGUUCACAAAAAACAAUCCGUACAAAAUCAAAUAGAAUACUGUUUUCAUAACCAACAGUACUUUAUUAACAUAUAUAAUAGUAUGUAAGUAUAUUUUAAAACAAAAAACCACCAUUGAAAAACAAGAAAAUACUACAUUCUUCCUCGCAACUUGUGAUGUCAGAUGUGUCCACUGCGCUAAAAAUUGAUUUUUGUUAGUUUUUUCAAUGAAAAUUGAUAAAGAGACGACUGAUGAAAAAACUAAACCAUAUUUUCACCAAUAUACCUAUUCUGCCCUCUUGGUCUCUAAGAGGGCCCUAAAAAAACAAGCAUAUUUUCUGGUUGUUGUUCGAUCCAAAAACCUAAACAUCUUUAAUUUUUUUUGUUUCCUCAAUACAAAAAAAAUAACAAUCUUUAUGAAUACAAACCAUUCAAAGUUAACACAAAAGUUAAAAUCAAAUUUAAUACAAACCAGUCAAUGUAUUAUGAAAAUGAAAUCAUGCAAUAAAGAUGGACAAUAGCCUUAACCACCCAUUCCAAGAUGGAUCAAUUGAUGAUGUAGCAACUUGUAAUUGUGCCUUUAAAUCCUCCAAGAUCUUCCCCUACAUUAGAUGCAUGAAUUAAUUAGUAAAAAUGAUGGAAAAUUAAAAGGCCUAGAAUGAAACUAAAGGACAAAAUCAUGACCAGCAUACCCCUACACUACUUAUUCCUUUUCAAGACCAUUCAAGAUGGUUAAAAGAUGAAACAAAACAUACCCCUGCACUCCUGCACUACUAAACUGCACCAUAUGCGUUUCCAAACUGGUACCAAGGACAAAAUGGUCAAAAUAUGAAACAAGUUGUACAAAAAAGCAACAGGGCAUGAGGGAAGAGCAAGGUAUUGCACCAGAUUCAACAGUCAACAUUAAAUACUCCAUAAACACUAACAAAUUCCAUGUACAAAAUACAUAUUCGAACUAAUCACAAACAGGUGAUACAAAAAAUUGUCUACAUCAUAUAACCACUUAGAGAAAGAUCACAAAACAGGUUCAAAUCAGAUUCAAUGUCGCUUUCAAAUUUAUUUUGCAAGAAACAGAUUCCAUGUAUAGAUAACAGAUCCGAACAUUAUAAGUUAUCUGAUUUCGAAUAGCAUUUACAAGAAAAAAAGGUUGAGGUUAUCUGAUUUCGGAGUUCGUAGUCGCUACCCUGCUGCGUUGAAGUGGAAGUCGAUGCUCAGGUGAAGUGGAAGUCGAUGAGUAUACGCGAUGGAGAAGAAGGCACUUAUAAAAGAAGGAGAAGGGCAAGGAAGGAAAAGAUGAUGCUUGGUCUCGGUCAGGAGGUUUUGAGAUGAGGACCGAAUCCUCAGAUUUCUUUGGACCGAGUCUGUCGAUAAAUCAAAUACAACAGCUUCUGAUUGAGGACCGAGUCCUCCUUUCUGACUGGGUUAGCAUCAUACAAAUUAAAUUUUGAAAAUUCUAAACUAAAAAAUCAUACCGUUGGAUUCCUUAGAGGAUAAAAGAAAUUAGACAGACAGAGCAUCAAAGAAAAGUCAUAAACUAUAAAACACUUACAGUUGGACGUUUCCGGUCGCCACCAAGAGGUCGGCAGUCACUCGCUCAACGAAACCAUCUUCCGUCGCUAGUCAGAACUCUCUUAAGGUAUCUCCCUCUCGAAUCGAUGUAUGUAUAUAUGCUGUCUAACUCUCACCUCUUGACUCUCUUUUGCUUUACUUCUUCUCCGUCGGUUCCUUUUGUAGAUGAAGAGGUUAUUAUUAUUUUUAUAUUUUAUAUAAGAAAAAACAAUCGGUUCCUUUUGUAGAUGAAAAGUUCUUAAAUGCUAGCUGUCAAAAGUUCUUAAUUGUGCAAUGAAAAGUUGUUAAGGGUUAUCUGUUUCACUCCUCUGUUUU